GGGACCGUGGGUUAGCUUGGCGAUACUCACAGCCUUGGGUGCUGUAGACCCCGGUUCGAAUCCGGGCGGUCCCA
rnacentral:tRNA from 1 species